CAAGUCGAGCGGAUUUAUGAGAGCUUGCUCUCAUAAGUUAGCGGCGGACGGGUGAGUAACACGUGGGCAACCUGCCUGUAANACUGGGAUAACUUCGGGGAACCGGAGCUAAUACCGGAUAACUUCUUUCCUCACAUGAGGAAAGGUUGAAAGACGGCUUCGGCUGUCACUUACAGAUGGGCCCGCGGCGCAUUAGCUAGUUGGUGAGAUAACGGCUCACCAAGGCAACGAUGCGUAGCCGACCUGAGAGGGUGAUCGGCCACACUGGGACUGAGACACGGCCCAGACUCCUACGGGAGGCAGCAGUAGGGAAUCUUCCGCAAUGGACGAAAGUCUGACGGAGCAACGCCGCGUGAGUGAUGAAGGUUUUCGGAUCGUAAAACUCUGUUGUCAGGGAAGAACAAGUAUCGGAGUAACUGCCGGUACCUUGACGGUACCUGACCAGAAAGCCACGGCUAACUACGUGCCAGCAGCCGCGGUAAUACGUAGGUGGCAAGCGUUGUCCGGAAUUAUUGGGCGUAAAGCGCGCGCAGGCGGUCUUUUAAGUCUGAUGUGAAAGCCCACGGCUCAACCGUGGAGGGUCAUUGGAAACUGGAAGACUUGAGUGCAGAAGAGAAGAGCGGAAUUCCACGUGUAGCGGUGAAAUGCGUAGAGAUGUGGAGGAACACCAGUGGCGAAGGCGGCUCUUUGGUCUGUAACUGACGCUGAGGCGCGAAAGCGUGGGGAGCAAAACAGGAUUAGAUACCCUGGUAGUCCACGCCCGUAAACGAUGAGUGCUAAGUGUUAGAGGGUUUCC
rnacentral:rRNA from 1 species